UACAGAGGUCCCAAGCGUUGUUCGGAUUCACUGGGCGUAAAGGGUGCGUAGGUGGUGAGGUAAGUCGGAUGUGAAAGCUCCGAGCUCAACUCGGAAAUGGCAUUGGAAACUACCUUGCUAGAGGGUUUGAGGGGGGACUGGAAUACUUGGUGUAGCAGUGAAAUGCGUAGAUAUCGAGAGGAACACCAGUGGCGAAGGCGGCUCGCUGGAUCUUUUCUGACGCUGAGGCGCGAAAGCUAGGGGAGCAAACGGG
rnacentral:rRNA from 1 species